CACCACUCCAGAGCAAAGCUACCAGCGCACUCUCAUCCUCCACUAUACCCCUCCUUGUAGUAAUCUCUCUAGUCUUCCUUGCAAACUAUAUUGAAGCAAGGUGUGUAUAAGUGUAAGACUCUUUACACUGUGGAACUAUAUUACAACAAAGGAACUAUAUUGCACUCCAGAGCAAACAUACCAGCGCGCGCUCUCAUUCUAUAUUGGAAUUUGUAAUAUUCUUUUAUCUAAUAAGACUCCAAAUUGGGUGUUUCAAGAUUAUCGAGGUAAGUCUAAUAUGAUCUUUGCAGGUUGGCGAAUCCAACACAGCCGGCGCUUUCAAACAGAAGUUUUAAAAUCCUACUCGGUACUCACCAUACGCCUCACCUAUCUGUCUUUUUAGAAGCAACUUAAAUUAGAUAACCCUAGUCAUGAACGAUCUAGGUAAGAGUUUAUCAUCUCCCCAGGCCCUUCCACCCGAAGGGAACACUUCUCUAUGGAUACAGAUUCUCCAGACGCCUAUGCAAGAUGCAGGCUAGAAAUGAGAACAAGCGAAGAGGUUUCUCCUAUAGGGUCCCUAGCAUAAACACUUGACUAGAACGGACAGACAUGGUUACUUAAGAAAAGUUACUUCAUACUGAACAGAUAAACUUACAUACAAGCUUUCUUCUUACCUUACACUUAUAUUACACACCUUGCUUCAAUAUACUUUGCAAGGAAGACUAGAGAGAUUACUACAAGGAGGGGUAUAGUGGAGGAUGAGAGUGCGCUGGUGUUGACGUGAAAACACGAGGCUUGAGAGAUCUGCUUAACUCUAGUGCAGGUCCAAAACUUACCUUUGGGUGUGUGUGCGUGCCAGUUGAUUUGAUCCUGCAAUCAACAAGAAACAAAUACAAAGAAACCGCGGUUAAAUCCAUAAACGAUAGCCGAUCGGCUAAUUGCUGAUGACAUAUCAUUUAUCUUCGAGCCGAUGUUAUAUAUGCAUCAAUCGGCAGUCAUUAAUAAGUAAGAAAGAACUAAAUCUACUUGAUCGGCUGUAGAUAUUAACAAUAUAUAAUCCUUAUAUCGAUAUAUACUAAAAUCAAGUGAU